rnacentral:lncRNA from 1 species
GUGGCAGAGCCCAGCCACCAGGGUCUGCUCCAUGCCUGGUCCCUGGAGAGGCCCUCACCCUCUCUGCUUUCACCCAACCCGACUGACACGGAGUAGGAGGUGGGAAUCAUGCAGGCAGGGAGCUUAGGAAGCCUGGUUCAAGGUUGCUUUGAAUGGCAGGCCCCCUGCUGUGCUCCUGGGGAGAGAGCCUGAAACCUGGAUGCUCGGGAGCCCCUCAGAUCCGUCAUCUGUCCCCGACACCCCUGUGGUGAGCCUUGCCACUGGGCCCUGAGAAGCUCAGAGCAGUCGAGUCAGGGCAGUGGGACAUGACCCAGGUCAGAUGUGGCUUUUCCGUAAUUGUACACCAAUGAUCAAGAGAAAAUGAAGGAUUUUAAUAUGAUGGGCUGCAAAUGUAACAAACCCCCUGACCUUCAGUCUGAAGAGAGAGAACUAUCAACCACACAGAAGCAAAGAUCCAGAGAAAUACUGAGGGAUGCUACCAGACACUCCAGGAAGAUCCUCCGCCUCAGUGCCAGGCCACUGCCCACCACAUGGGAGCAGGAACCAGGGCAUGGGCAGGCAGAAGAGCAGGCGGAGUGGCUGAGGUCCUGUCCCGGCUCCCUAAGGUGUUCCCAGUUUGCGGAGGAUUACGUGCCCUCUCAGCCCAGUAGCACACUUUCCAAAUAAGCCAUCAGACUCCUCCCAAGGUCCUGAAACUGAGGCUCAGAGAGCAGAAGCAGCUUGGCCAAAGUCAUACAACUGGUAGUUGGUAAAGGAGCUGGCCUUGAACUCAGGGAUAUCUUGAAAGCCACUGUUGCUUCUAUGGACUCUAGCCAUUCAAAAGACCCCUCACCUUCUAUAAGACCCCAGGAGAUCCUCAGGGUCCAACUGCUCCCUUGAAAACAGGUCCCAGAUAUAUCUGCCAAAGGUAUGAUUAGGUGCCUAAACACAUACCAUGAGAAAGGGAUUCCAUGUCUUCCAAUCCUGCCCAGAGAUGCAGAGACACCACCACCCAGGGAGAGAUAGCCAGAAACUAAAAUAAGAUGUUAGAGACAGGUGGUUGAUAGUGACAGAUACAGCCACACCAAGACAGGCUCAAAGGGAGGAAGACUGAGGGGAAGCCAGAGACAGAGAGGGACACAUUAGGCCAAAGAAUGAGAGAGAUAGCUGGAAAAGGAGACAAUAGGAGUAGAGGAGGGUACA